GGUGCAGGGGGGGCACAGCAGCUCGGGGUGAGGAGGAGCAGGGGGGCACGGACAGACUCCCCUGAGCCUCAGGAGGACAGGCACGAGUCGGGGAAACAAAAUGAUUCUUCUGGUUAAGACAGCAUGGGUCAUACUAAAGCCAGGAUUUUUUUUUUCCCCCUCCAGCAAGAGCAGGGAAGAGACAAGCUGGCCAGGGACAAGAUUUGGUAAAGGCAAGGCUUCAUCACAGCUCAGCUCUCCAAAACUGGUUUGAAAACAUCAAUUAAGCUUCCUGUUGUCUGUUUUCAAGAUCAGCGGGGGAGGAAACCGAGGCACAGGAACAGGGAAUCAAGAAAUGAGUCCUGUGUAUUUUGGAGUGUUGGCCAGUGCUGCAUCCUCAGGCUGCAGGAUGGUUUUCUGCGUGCCUGGCUGCUCCUCCCUCUGCUGCUGCUCUCUUGCCUGAGGUAGAGUUUCCCAGGCUCUGCCAGCGAGCAAGGCCACAAGGAGCUGGGUGAGAGCACGGCCAGGAGAGCUGCCCUGGAGUGGCCAGAGGGAUGUCCCAUUCCACAGAACAUCCUGCCAGUACAGAAACUGGGGGGUGGCACCUGUCUGUCAAGGUCAGGGUGGUGAACGACUGUGUUGUGCAGCUCUGGCAGGGAGGAAUUCCUGCCCAACAUCCCAGAACCCUCCCAGGCUGCAGGAAGUGCUGCGGCGGCUUCAGGUUAAUCCUCCAGUACCUCCGCAAGGGCAAGAAAUGACUUUGUGUCAAGGCAGAGCCUUCAGCCCUGGGAGGAAACACGGCCUGCAGGCUGCCUGAGUGCCCCGACAGCCCCCAGGCCUCCCGCCAGCCCGUGACCCAUCCGU